GGCACUGUAGCCGAGCGGUAAUGCUAGCGACUUUGAUUUGUCAAGUCGAGGGUUCAUGGCCUGCCAGUGUCU